rnacentral:rRNA from 1 species
GACGAACGCUGGCGGCGUGCUUAACACAUGCAAGUCGAGCGGUAAGGCCCUUUCGGGGGUACACGAGCGGCGAACGGGUGAGUAACACGUGGGUGACCUGCCCUCAGCUCUGGGAUAAGCCUGGGAAACUGGGUCUAAUACCGGAUAUGACUCCAUGACGCAUGUUGUGGGGUGGAAAGCCUUGUGCGGCUGAGGAUGGGCCCGCGGCCUAUCAGCUUGUUGGGGGGGUGA